GGGCAUGUGGUGUAGUUGGUUAUCACGCUCGCUUAGCACCUGCAGCGCUUGCGAGAGGGGUCCGGUUCAAUCCCGGACAUGUCCA
rnacentral:tRNA from 1 species